ACACGGACCAAGGAGUCUAACAUGUGCGCGAGUCAUGGGGUCGUGCUAAACCCAAAGGCGCAAUGAAAGUGAAGGCCGCCUCCGGCUGGCCUAGGUAGGAUCCGGCGAUCCGUCGCCGGCGCACUACCGGCCCGUUCCGACCGCCGCGUCGGUGGAGCGGAGCAAGAGCGUACACGUUGGGACCCGAAAGAUGGUGAACUAUGCCUGAGUAGGAUGAAGCCAGAGGAAACUCUGGUGGAGGUCCGUAGCGAUUCUGACGUGCAAAUCGAUCGUCAAACUUGGGUAUAGGGGCGAAAGACUAAUCGAACCGUCUAGUAGCUGGUUCCCUCCGAAGUUUCCCUCAGGAUAGCUGGCACUCGAACGCAGUUUUAUCCGGUAAAGCGAAUGAUUAGAGGCCUUGGGGACGAAACGACCUCAACCUAUUCUCAAACUUUAAAUGGGUAAGAAGUCCGACUCGCUCGAUCUAUAUUGGAGUCGGACGUGGAAUGCGAGUGCCCAGUGGGCCACUUUUGGUAAGCAGAACUGGCGCUGUGG
rnacentral:rRNA from 1 species